UACGAAGGGUGCAAGCGUUACUCGGAAUUACUGGCCGUAAAGCGUGCGUAGGUGGUUUGUUAAGUCUGAUGUGAAAGCCCUGGGCUCAACCUGGGAAUGGCAUUGGAAACUGGCUUACUAGAGUGCGGUAGAGGGUAGCGGAAUUCCCGGUGUAGCAGUGAAAUGCGUAGAUAUCGGGAGGAACAUCCGUGGCGAAGGCGGCUACCUGGACCAGCACUGACACUGAGGCACGAAAGCGUGGGGAGCAAACAGG
rnacentral:rRNA from 1 species